GUCCAGCCCCGUUUGGGGUCCAGCCCCGUUUGGGGUUCAGGGGUCCAGCUCCAUUUGGGUCCAGUCCCUUUUGGGGUCCAGCCCCGUUUGGGGUUCAGGGGUCCAGCCCCAUUUGAGUCCAGCCCCAUUUGGGGUCCAGUCCCAUUUGGGGUCCAGUCCCUUUUGGGGUCCAGCCCCGUUUGGGGUUCAGGGGUCCAGCCCCAUUUGAGUCCAGCCCCAUUUGGGGUCCAGCCCCAUUUGGGGUUCAGGGGUCCAGCCCCAUUUGAGUCCAGCCCCUUUUGGGGUCCAGCCCCGUUUGGGGUUCAGGGGUCCAGCCCCGUUUGGGGUUCAGGGGUCCAGCUCCAUUUGGGUCCAGCCCCGUUUGGGGUCCAGCCCCGUUUGGGGUCCAGCCCCGUUUGGGGUUCAGGGGUCCAGCUCCAUUUGAGUCCAGUCCCUUUUGGGGUCCAGCCCCGUUUGGGGUUCAGGGGUCCAGCUCCAUUUGGGUCCAGUCCCUUUUGGGGUCCAGCCCCGUUUGGGGUCCAGCCCCGGCCCCAUUUGGGGUUCAGCCCCAGCCCCAUUUGGGGUUCAGUUCUGGCCCCAUUUGGGGUUUUAGGGGUGCAGCCCCAGCCCCAUUUGGGGUCCGGCCCCAGCCCCAUUUGGGAUUCAGGGCUCCAGCCCUAUUUGGGGCCCAGCCCCAUUUGGGGUCCAGUCCCAUUUGGGGUUCAGGGGUCCAGUUCCAUUUGGGGUCUGGCCCCAUUUGGGGUCCAGCCCCGUUUGGGGUCCAGUCCCAUUUGGGGUCCAGUCCCAUUUGGGGCCCAGCCCCGUUUGGGGUUCAGGGGCCCAGUCCCAUUUGGGGCCCAGCCCCGUUUGGGGUUCAGGGGCCCAGUCCCAUUUGGGGUCCAGCCCCGGCCCCAUUUGGGGCCCAGCCCCGUUUGGGCUCCAGCCCCAUUUGGUGCCGCCCCCGGCCGUGCCCAGGCCCGGCUCAAAGUCCCGCAGGUUCCCCGAUCCCGUUGCGGUUCCUGUCCCGGGAAAUCAUUAACUGGGAUCGGGGCGGCGCCGGGACCUUCGGACCCCGCUGUGGGACAGCGGCACGGCCCUUCCCGGGAACGGGAUCGGCCCAGCGGGAACGGGAUCGGCCCAGCUGGAAUGGGAUUGUCCCAGUGGGAAUGGGAUCGCCCUGCUGGGAAUGGGAUUGUCCCAGCUGGAAUGGGAUUGUCCCAGUGGGAAUGGGAUCGGCCCAGUGAGAAUGGGAUUGUCCUGCUGGGAAUGGGAUCGGCCCAGCGGGAAUGGGAUCGGCCCAGUGAGAAUGGGAUUGUCCCAGCGGGAAUGGGAUUGUCCUGCUGGGAAUGGGAUCGGCCCAGCGGGAAUGGGAUCAUCCUGCUGGGAAUGGGAUUGUCCCAGUGGGAAUGGGAUCGGCCCAGCUGGAAUGGGAUCGUCCCAGUGGGAAUGGGAUCGGCCCAGCGGGAAUGGGAUCAGCCCAGCGGGAAUGGGAUCGUCCCAGGGGGAAUGGGAUCGUCCCAGGGGGAAUGGGAUCGGCCCAGCGGGAAUGGGAUCAGCCCAGCGGGAAU
ensembl:lncRNA